GGGCCCGAGUUGUAAUUUGCAGAGGGAGUUUCGGAGGCGGCACCGGCCUAAGUUCCUUGGAACGGGGCGUCAUAGAGGGUGAGAAUCCCGUACGUGGCCGGUGGUCAAUUCCAUGUGAAACCCUUUCGACGAGUCGAGUUGUUUGGGAAUGCAGCUCAAAAUGGGUGGUAAAUUUCAUCUAAAGCUAAAUACCGGCCAGAGACCGAUAGCGCACAAGUAGAGUGAUCGAAAGAUGAAAAGCACUUUGGAAAGAGAGUUAAAAAGUACGUGAAAUUGUUGAAAGGGAAGCGCUUGCGACCAGACUUGCCCGCGGGUGAUCAGCCCCCCUUCGGGAGGGUGCACUCGCCCGUGGUCAGGCCAGCAUCGGUUUUGGUGGGCGGAUAAAGGCUCCAGGAAUGUAGCUCCCCUCGGGGAGUGUUAUAGCCUGGGGUGCCAUGCGCCCCGCCGGGACCGAGGACCGCGCUUCGGCUAGGAUGCUGGCGUAAUGGUCGUAAGCGACCCGUCUUGAAACACGGACCAAGGAGUCUAACAUCUGUGCGAGUGUUUGGGUGUCAAACCCAUGCGCGGAAUGAAAGUGAACGGAGGUGGGAACCCCUUCCGGGGGGCGCACCAUCGACCGAUCCUGAUGUCUUCGGAUGGAUUUGAGUAGGAGCAUGGCUGUUGGGACCCGAAAGAUGGUGAACUAUGCCUGGAUAGGGUGAAGCCAGAGGAAACUCUGGUGGAGGCUCGCAGCGGUUCUGACGUGCAAAUCGAUCGUCAAAUCUGGGUAUAGGGGCGAAAGGUCAGUGCAUUCAUCUCUUUUUGUGGUGGAGUCGGGCUGUCGGGGUGGAAACGUGCUAACAAUUUUCCAGACUAAUCGAACCAU
rnacentral:rRNA from 1 species